CCUACGGGUGGCAGCAGUGAGGAAUAUUGGUCAAUGGGCGCAAGCCUGAACCAGCCAAGACGCGUGAGGGAUGACGGUCCUAUGGAUUGUAAACCUCUUUUGUCGGGGAGCAAGGCCCGCCACGUGUGGCGGGAAGGAGAGUACCCGAAGAAAAAGCAUCGGCUAACUCCGUGCCAGCAGCCGCGGUAGUACGGAGGAUGCGAGCGUUAUCCGGAUUUAUUGGGUUUAAAGGGCGCGUAGGCGGAAGGUUAAGUCAGCGGUAAAAUGUCGGUGCUCAACACCGGCCUGCCGUUGAAACUGGUCUUCUUGAGUGAGCGAGAGGUAUGCAGAAUGCGUGGUGUAGCGGUGAAAUGCAUAGAUAUCACGCAGAACACCGAUGGCGAAGGCAGCAUACCGGCGCUCAACUGACGCUGAGGCACGAAAGCGUGGGGAUCGAACAGGAUUAGAUACCCGGGUAGUC
rnacentral:rRNA from 1 species